rnacentral:rRNA from 1 species
GUAGGGAAUAUUGGGCAAUGGAGGCAACUCUGACCCAGCCAUGCCGCGUGCAGGAUGACGGCCCUCUGGGUUGUAAACUGCUUUUAUACGGGAAGAAAAAAUACUACGUGUAGUAUACUGACGGUACCGUAAGAAUAAGGAUCGGCUAACUCCGUGCCAGCAGCCGCGGUAAUAAGGAGGAUCCAAGCGUUGUCCGGAUUUAUUGGGUUUAAAGGGUGCGUAGGCGGAUCUUUAAGUCAGUGGUGAAAGCCUGCAGCUUAACUGUAGAAUUGCCAUUGAAACUGAAGAUCUUGAAUGUGGUUAAAGUAGGCGGAAUGUAUCAUGUAGCGGUGAAAUGCUUAGAUAUGAUACAGAACACCGAUAGCGAAGGCAGCUUGCUGAACCAUUAUUGACGCUGAGGCACGAGAGCGUGGGGAGCGAACAGGAUUAGAAACCCCGGUAGUCC